rnacentral:lncRNA from 1 species
CUGAAGCUAUUCUGUUGCUGAUCAGGCUGGAGGCCACUUUUACAAAAAUCAUCUCCGUAGGAUCUUUAGCGUAAGAGAAGUAAGAGAUCCCAAACCCUGAGAGGUCCAAAAUCCAAAGUGAUGCUAAUGGGCCAUAUUCAUCAAAACAAGUACACCAUUUCAUCUGCCCCCUUGCCUAAUUAGCUGGAUGCCAGACGAAGUCAUUCUGAGGCAGAGCCGGCCUCACAAUUCUGUCCUGCAGAAGCCUUGCACUCACUGACAAUGGCUGUGAUGAAGUGAAUUUCUCCCAGUCUUCCUGUGGAUAAUAUCACCCUUUGUCAACCAAACAAAAACGACAGGUGAUGCAAUGCGAUUGUAUUCAUGAUUGAAAUAACUCUGCUUCACCCUGAGACUGUGGGUCAUCUGCAACUAAAAAUGACAAGAUGCUUACAUCUGUACAUCAUUUCCCAAACUGGAGGACGUACUGAGUUUCCGUGCCCAGAGAAGACUUGGUUCGGGGACCAAGUGGACGCAGGCAGGGGACAGGUGACGCUACCUGUGACAUCAGGGACGAUGUCACAAACGGCAUGCGAGUUGCAGCGAUGACUACAGAGACGAGGCACUCUUCGUCUUGUUGUUGCUGUUAUUCCCACCGUACUGGCCAAAGAGACUAAUGUGACUAACUUCCAGGAGGGGGAGGGAAGUACAGCCCUAUAAUUCUCAGAGGAAAGAGCAGAACAAAUCCAGCUGAACUGCACCAAAGGUCACCGCAGUCACUUGAAGGCGUUCAGAAGCAUAAAUGAAACCACCACAUCAUUCAUCCAUCUACACAACAAGCAUAUUUCUCUGCACUGGGCCAUAAGCCAGUUUUCUAGGCAUCACAAAAAUCAAAUGAGUCCUUAUAUAUGUGCUGGUUUUGGGUAUAGCAAUUUUAAACAAUCCUAGGAAUGUUCAUGCCAACUAUCCAAGUAUCCCAAAGAAAAACACACGGCAACGGAAGUCGUCAUUACACAAAGCC